GGUCUAAAACCAGGUCUAAACCAGGUCUAAACCAGGUCUAAACCAGGUCUAAACCAGGUCUUAAACCAGGUCUAAAACCAGGUCUAAAACUAGGUCAAAACCAGGUCUAAAACCAGGUCUAAACCAGGUCUAAAACUAGGUCAAAACCAGGUCUAAAACCAGGUCUAAAACUAGGUCAAAACCAGGUCUAAAACCGGGUCUAAAACCAGGUCUAAAACCAGGUCUAAAACUAGGUCAAAACCAGGUCUAAAACUAGGUCAAAACCAGGUCUAAAACCAGGUCUAAAACUAGGUCAAAACCAGGUCUAAACCAGGUCUAAAACCAGGUUUAAAACCGGGUCUAAACCAGGUCUAAACCAGGUCUAAAACCAGGUCUAAACCAGGUCUAAACCAGGUCUAAACCAGGUCUAAACCAGGUCUA